rnacentral:rRNA from 1 species
GACGAACGCUGGCGGCGUGCUUAACACAUGCAAGUCGAACGGAAAGGCCCUGCUUUUGUGGGGUGCUCGAGUGGCGAACGGGUGAGUAACACGUGAGUAACCUGCCCUUGACUUUGGGAUAACUUCAGGAAACUGGGGCUAAUACCGGAUAGGAGCUCCUGCUGCAUGGUGGGGGUUGGAAAGUUUCGGCGGUUGGGGAUGGACUCGCGGCUUAUCAGCUUGAUGGUGGGGUAGUGGCUUACCAAGGCUUUGACGGGUAGCCGGCCUGAGAGGGUGACCGGCCACAUUGGGACUGAGAUACGGCCCAGACUCCAACGGGAGGCAGCAGGGGGGAAUAUUGCACAAUGGGCGGAAGCCUGAUGCAGAAACGCCGCGUGCGGGAUGACGGCCUUCGGGUUGUAAACCGCUUUCGCCUGUGACGAAGCGUGAGUGACGGUAAUGGGUAAAGAAGCACCGGCUAACUACGUG